rnacentral:rRNA from 1 species
UACAGAGGGUGCUAGCGUUGUUCGGAAUUAUUGGGCGUAAAGGGCGCGUAGGCGGCUCGGUAUGUCGGGUGUGAAAGCCCACCUCUUAAAGGUGGAAUUGCAUUCGAAACUACCGAGCUAGAGUACCGGAGAGGAUGGUGGAAUUCCUGGUGUAGAGGUGAAAUUCGUAGAUAUCAGGAGGAACACCGGUGGCGAAGGCGGCCAUCUGGACGGAUACUGACGCUGAGGCGCGAAAGCGUGGGGAUCAAACAGG